UACGGAGGGUGCAAGCGUUGUUCGGAAUUAUUGGGCGUAAAGCGCGCGCAGGCGGUCUGAAAAGUCUAUGGGUGAAAUCCCGGGGCUCAACCCCGCGUAUGCCCAGGAUACUGUCAGACUGGAGACACGUAGAGGCAAGCGGAAUUUCGGGUGUAGCGGUGGAAUGCGUAGAUAUCCGAAAGAACACCGGAGGCGAAGGCGGCUUGCUGGGCGUGAUCUGACGCUGAGGCGCGAAAGCGUGGGGAGCGAACAGG
rnacentral:rRNA from 1 species